GCCGGGGUGGCCGAGCGGCCUAAGGCGGCGGACUCGAGAUCCCACGAUCCAAGAAAUCCGUUGCCCGCAAGGGCGCCCGGGUUCAAAUCCCGGCCCCGGCG
rfam:Thermofilum uzonense strain 1807-2, complete genome.